UACAUAGGUGGCAAGCGUUGUCCGGAAUGACUGGGCGUAAAGGGAGCGUAGGCGGUCUGUUAAGUUGGAAGUGAAAUCCCGGGGCUCAACCCCGGAACUGCUUUCAAGACUGACGGACUUGAGUGUAAGAGGGGUAAGCGGAAUUCCUAGUGUAGCGGUGGAAUGCGUAGAUAUUAGGAGGAACACCAGUGGCGAAGGCGGCUUACUGGAUUAUAACUGACGCUGAGGCUCGAAAGCGUGGGUAGCAAACAGG
rnacentral:rRNA from 1 species